rnacentral:ncRNA from 16 species
GCCUCGGUAGCUCAGCUGGUAGAGCGCGAGACUUGUAAUCUCGUGGUCGCGGGUUCAAAUCCCGCCCGAGGCU